rnacentral:piRNA from 1 species
UCCUAAUGCCAAACCAGGUCUGCCAGACA